rnacentral:rRNA from 1 species
GAAAACGCGGCAGAUUGGGUGUUAAAUAGCCUGGCAGACCUGCCGCAAGCGAUAAAAAAGCAGCAAAAACCGGCGCAAUGAUUAAAAGAUGAGCGGUUGAAAUAAAAAUGCAUUUUUCCGCUUGUCUUCCUGAGCCGACUCCCUAUAAUGCGCCUCCAUCGACACGGCGAAUGUGAAUCACUUCACACAAACAGCCGGUUCGGUUGAAGAGAAAAAAUCCUGAAAUUCAGGGUUGACUCUGAAAGAGGAAAGCGUAAUAUACGCCACCUCGCGACAGUGAGCUGAAAGCCGCGUCGCAACUGCUCUUUAACAAUUUAUCAGACAAUCUGUGUGGGCACUCGAAGAUACGGAUUCUUAACGUCGCAAGACGAAAAAUGAAUACCAAGUCUCAAGAGUGAACACGUAAUUCAUUACGAAGUUUAAUUCUUUGAGCAUCAAACUUUUAAAUUGAAGAGUUUGAUCAUGGCUCAGAUUGAACGCUGGCGGCAGGCCUAACACAUGCAAGUCGAACGGUAACAGGAAGAAGCUUGCUUCUUUGCUGACGAGUGGCGGACGGGUGAGUAAUGUCUGGGAAACUGCCUGAUGGAGGGGGAUAACUACUGGAAACGGUAGCUAAUACCGCAUAACGUCGCAAGACCAAAGAGGGGGACCUUCGGGCCUCUUGCCAUCGGAUGUGCCCAGAUGGGAUUAGCUAGUAGGUGGGGUAACGGCUCACCUAGGCGACGAUCCCUAGCUGGUCUGAGAGGAUGACCAGCCACACUGGAACUGAGACACGGUCCAGACUCCUACGGGAGGCAGCAGUGGGGAAUAUUGCACAAUGGGCGCAAGCCUGAUGCAGCCAUGCCGCGUGUAUGAAGAAGGCCUUCGGGUUGUAAAGUACUUUCAGCGGGGAGGAAGGGAGUAAAGUUAAUACCUUUGCUCAUUGACGUUACCCGCAGAAGAAGCACCGGCUAACUCCGUGCCAGCAGCCGCGGUAAUACGGAGGGUGCAAGCGUUAAUCGGAAUUACUGGGCGUAAAGCGCACGCAGGCGGUUUGUUAAGUCAGAUGUGAAAUCCCCGGGCUCAACCUGGGAACUGCAUCUGAUACUGGCAAGCUUGAGUCUCGUAGAGGGGGGUAGAAUUCCAGGUGUAGCGGUGAAAUGCGUAGAGAUCUGGAGGAAUACCGGUGGCGAAGGCGGCCCCCUGGACGAAGACUGACGCUCAGGUGCGAAAGCGUGGGGAGCAAACAGGAUUAGAUACCCUGGUAGUCCACGCCGUAAACGAUGUCGACUUGGAGGUUGUGCCCUUGAGGCGUGGCUUCCGGAGCUAACGCGUUAAGUCGACCGCCUGGGGAGUACGGCCGCAAGGUUAAAACUCAAAUGAAUUGACGGGGGCCCGCACAAGCGGUGGAGCAUGUGGUUUAAUUCGAUGCAACGCGAAGAACCUUACCUGGUCUU